rnacentral:rRNA from 1 species
CUAAACGGCCACGGCACUAAAACCGUGCAAAGGUAGCACAAUCACUUGCCCCUUAAAUAGGGGCCCGUAUGAAAGGCAACAUGAGAGAAGACCUGUCUCCUAGGGCCAGCCAAUGAAAUUGAACUACCAGUACAAAAGCUGGUAUUCACAAGCAAGACAAAAAGACCCUGUGGAACUUUAACAAAUUGUUUAAACAAAUUGAACAAUAGUUUCAGUUGGGAAAACUUUAGAAAAAAUAAACUUCUUAAAUACCACAGACCAACAAGCCUAUAGCCAUCAAACAUUGACCCAGUUUUACUGAUUAACGAAACAAGCUACCCCAGGGAUAACAGCGCUACCUUCUCAAAGAGUCCUUAUCAACAAGAAGAUCUACGACCUCGAUGUUGGAUCAGGGUAUCCAGACGGUGCAGCAGCUGUCAAAGGUUCGUUUGUUCAACGACUAAGACCC